AAAAAGAUUGUGAUAAGGAAGAGUAUAUAAAAGGAGAAUUUAAAGAGAGCUUGGAAUGGUGAGAGCCUGGCAAUGGAAUUUUAUAGAACGCAGCCUUUGAAUCGCUUAUUGAGAAAUGAGAAUUAAGUUUAAUUCUUAAAAUAGAUACAGACGUGACCUCGCGUUAUUGAGGAAUGAAAUUAUAAGUUUCAGUAAAGAGAGUGCAAUUUGCACUAAUCAGGGUGGUACCGCGAAAACUCCUUCGUCCCUUUA
rnacentral:ncRNA from 1 species